UAAAAAAUGUUGAUUAGAAAAUAGUAGCUUUAAGUUGAUUUUUAGAGAGACAAUGGUUGGUGAAAAUUGUUAUGAUGCUUUUAGUGAAUGGGUCUAUGAGUGCAAGGCGAAUUAUAGUAGCCGAGACGGGUUUCUCCCGUUACAGAGAUAGGAUAUGAAUGUAUCUGAAAGAGGUCUAUAUUUUUAUAGAAAUAGGAUGGCACCGCGAAUUCACCAUUUGCUCCUAUA
rfam:Peptoniphilus lacrimalis 315-B contig00023, whole genome shotgun sequence.